rnacentral:tRNA from 1 species
GCGGGUAUAGUUCAACGGUAGAACCUCAGCCUUCCAAGCUGAUGAUGCGGGUUCGAUCCCCGCUACCCGCUCCA